AUGGUGGCGCCGAACGUGAAGGCGGAGACGAUGAGGCUGAUGGACCGGCGGUCGGCGCUGGAGGCGGAGAUGGACGCCAUCAUCGCCGCUCUCUCCGCGCCGGGCGGGGCGGGCAUCACGGGCAGCCUCGUCGACGCCGAGGGCUUCCCCAGGGCGGACAUCGACAUCCCCGCCGUCCUCGCCCAGCGCCGCAAGCUCGGUGAGCUGAGGAAUGAUCACAAGGAUGUUACAAACAAAAUUGAGAAGAAUCUGGAAGUUUUACACUCUACAAAAUUAACAAGAAAUGAGCAAUCAAUCCCGAGAAGUUCUGGUAUAUCAGCUCCACUGCAUGGCGGAUUGUCUCAAAAUGAUCCUAUGGAAGAAGAUCUGGUGACCAGACUUCCUUUUGCGAUGAUUGAUGACAUCGCAGAUGGUUCUCCUGCUGCUUUGGAUGGCUUGCUGCUUGGGGAUGAGAUAGUGAAGUUUGGGAGUGUAGAGGCUGGCGGCAGAUUGCAAGAAAGGCUUGUUUCUGAAGCCCUUUCCAGUGAGGAUAAUCAAGUGUCUCUGCUCAUCAUUCGUCAGGGAUCACCAAUGAACUUGACAAUUACACCAAGAAAGUGGCACGGAAGAGGACUUAUGGGGUGCCAUUUCCGAAUCUUAUGA
rnacentral:rRNA from 1 species